rnacentral:rRNA from 1 species
CCUACGGGGGGCAGCAGUGGGGAAUAUUGGACAAUGGGGGGAACCCUGAUCCAGCCAUGCCGCGUGUGUGAAGAAGGCCCUCGGGUUGUAAAGCACUUUCAGUGAGGAAGAACGCCUGGUGGUUAAUACCCAUCAGGAAAGACAUCACUCACAGAAGAAGCACCGGCUAACUCCGUGCCAGCCGCCGCGGUAAUACGGAGGGUGCGAGCGUUAAUCGGAAUUACUGGGCGUAAAGCGCGCGUAGGUGGCUUGAUAAGCCGGUUGUGAAAGCCCCGGGCUCAACCUGGGAACGGCAUCCGGAACUGUCAAGCUAGAGUGAAGGAGAGGAAGGUAGAAUUCCCGGUGUAGCGGUGAAAUGCGUAGAGAUCGGGAGGAAUACCAGUGGCGAAGGCGGCCUUCUGGACUGACACUGACACUGAGGUGCGAAAGCGUGGGUAGCAAACAGGAUUAGAUACCCUGGUAGUC